rnacentral:rRNA from 1 species
UACGUAGGGUGCAAGCGUUGUCCGGAAUUAUUGGGCGUAAAGAGCUCGUAGGCGGUCUGUCGCGUCGGUUGUGAAAACUCGGGGCUCAACUCCGAGCUUGCAGUCGAUACGGGCAGGCUAGAGUUCGGCAGGGGAGACUGGAAUUCCUGGUGUAGCGGUGAAAUGCGCAGAUAUCAGGAGGAACACCGGUGGCGAAGGCGGGUCUCUGGACCGAUACUGACGCUGAGGCGCGAAAGCGUGGGGAGCAAACAGG